GGGUUGUGAGGUUAAGCGACUAAGCGUACACGGUGGAUGCCCUGGCAGUCAGAGGCGAUGAAGGACGUGCUAAUCUGCGAAAAGCGUCGGUAAGGUGAUAUGAACCGUUAUAACCGGCGAUGUCCGAAUGGGGAAACCCAGUGCAAUUCGUUGCACUAUCGUUAACUGAAUACAUAGGUUAACGAGGCGAACCGGGGGAACUGAAACAUCUAAGUACCCCGAGGAAAAGAAAUCAACCGAGAUUCCCCCAGUAGCGGCGAGCGAACGGGGAGCAGCCCAGAGUCUGAAUCAGCUUGUGUGUUAGUGGAACGGUCUGGAAAGUCCGACGGUACAGGGUGAUAGUCCCGUACACCAAAAUGCACAGGCUGUGAACUCGAAGAGUAGGGCGGGACACGUGGUAUCCUGUCUGAAUAUGGGGGGACCAUCCUCCAAGGCUAAAUACUCCUGACUGACCGAUAGUGAACCAGUACCGUGAGGGAAAGGCGAAAAGAACCCCGGCGAGGGGAGUGAAAAAGAACCUGAAACCGUGUACGUACAAGCAGUGGGAGCACCUUCGGGUGUGACUGCGUACCUUUUGUAUAAUGGGUCAGCGACUUAUAUUCUGUAGCAAGGUUAACCGUAUAGGGGAGCCGCAGGGAAACCGAGUCUUAACUGGGCGUUAAGUUGCAGGGUAUAGACCCGAAACCCGGUGAUCUAGCCAUGGGCAGGUUGAAGGUUGGGUAACACUAACUGGAGGACCGAACCGACUAAUGUUGAAAAAUUAGCGGAUGACUUGUGGCUGGGGGUGAAAGGCCAAUCAAACCGGGAGAUAGCUGGUUCUCCCCGAAAGCUAUUUAGGUAGCGCCUCGUGAACUCAUCUUCGGGGGUAGAGCACUGUUUCGGCUAGGGGGUCAUCCCGACUUACCAACCCGAUGCAAACUACGAAUACCGAAGAAUGUUAUCACGGGAGACACACGGCGGGUGCUAACGUCCGUCGUGAAGAGGGAAACAACCCAGACCGCCAGCUAAGGUCCCAAAGUCAUGGUUAAGUGGGAAACGAUGUGGGAAGGCACAGACAGCCAGGAUGUUGGCUUAGAAGCAGCCAUCAUUUAAAGAAAGCGUAAUAGCUCACUGGUCGAGUCGGCCUGCGCGGAAGAUGUAACGGGGCUAAACCAUGCACCGAAGCUGCGGCAGCGACACUAUGUGUUGUUGGGUAGGGGAGCGUUCUGUAAGCCUGCGAAGGUGACCUGUGAGGGUUGCUGGAGGUAUCAGAAGUGCGAAUGCUGACAUAAGUAACGAUAAAGCGGGUGAAAAGCCCGCUCGCCGGAAGACCAAGGGUUCCUGUCCAACGUUAAUCGGGGCAGGGUGAGUCGACCCCUAAGGCGAGGCCGAAAGGCGUAGUCGAUGGGAAACAGGUUAAUAUUCCUGUACUUGGUGUUACUGCGAAGGGGGGACGGAGAAGGCUAUGUUAGCCGGGCGACGGUUGUCCCGGUUUAAGCAUGUAGGCUGGUUGUCCAGGCAAAUCCGGAUAAUCAAGGCUGAGGUGUGAUGACGAGGCACUACGGUGCUGAAGUAACAAAUGCCCUGCUUCCAGGAAAAGCCUCUAAGCAUCAGGUAACAUUAAAUCGUACCCCAAACCGACACAGGUGGUCAGGUAGAGAAUACCAAGGCGCUUGAGAGAACUCGGGUGAAGGAACUAGGCAAAAUGGUGCCGUAACUUCGGGAGAAGGCACGCUGGUGUGUAGGUGAAGUCCCUGCGGAUGGAGCUGAGACCAGUCGAAGAUACCAGCUGGCUGCAACUGUUUAUUAAAAACACAGCACUGUGCAAACACGAAAGUGGACGUAUACGGUGUGACGCCUGCCCGGUGCCGGAAGGUUAAUUGAUGGGGUUAUCCGUAAGGAGAAGCUCUUGAUCGAAGCCCCGGUAAACGGCGGCCGUAACUAUAACGGUCCUAAGGUAGCGAAAUUCCUUGUCGGGUAAGUUCCGACCUGCACGAAUGGCGUAAUGAUGGCCAGGCUGUCUCCACCCGAGACUCAGUGAAAUUGAACUCGCUGUGAAGAUGCAGUGUACCCGCGGCAAGACGGAAAGACCCCGUGAACCUUUACUAUAGCUUGACACUGAACAUUGAGCCUUGAUGUGUAGGAUAGGUGGGAGGCUUUGAAGCGUGGACGCCAGUCUGCGUGGAGCCAACCUUGAAAUACCACCCUUUAAUGUUUGAUGUUCUAACGUUGGCCCCUGACCGGGGUUGCGGACAGUGUCUGGUGGGUAGUUUGACUGGGGCGGUCUCCUCCCAAAGCGUAACGGAGGAGCACGAAGGUUAGCUAAUCCUGGUCGGACAUCAGGAGGUUAGUGCAAUGGCAUAAGCUAGCUUGACUGCGAGCGUGACGGCGCGAGCAGGUGCGAAAGCAGGUCAUAGUGAUCCGGUGGUUCUGAAUGGAAGGGCCAUCGCUCAACGGAUAAAAGGUACUCCGGGGAUAACAGGCUGAUACCGCCCAAGAGUUCAUAUCGACGGCGGUGUUUGGCACCUCGAUGUCGGCUCAUCACAUCCUGGGGCUGAAGUAGGUCCCAAGGGUAUGGCUGUUCGCCAUUUAAAGUGGUACGCGAGCUGGGUUUAGAACGUCGUGAGACAGUUCGGUCCCUAUCUGCCGUGGGCGCUGGAGAAUUGAGGGGGGCUGCUCCUAGUACGAGAGGACCGGAGUGGACGCAUCACUGGUGUUCGGGUUGUCAUGCCAAUGGCACUGCCCGGUAGCUAAAUGCGGAAGAGAUAAGUGCUGAAAGCAUCUAAGCACGAAACUUGCCCCGAGAUGAGUUCUCCCUGAGACUUUAAGUCUCCUGAAGGAACGUUAAAGACGAUGACGUUGAUAGGCCGGGUGUGUAAGCGCAGCGAUGCGUUGAGCUAACCGGUACUAAUGAACCGUGAGGCUUAACCUUACAACGCCGAAG
rnacentral:rRNA from 1 species